rnacentral:rRNA from 1 species
UACGUAGGGGGCUAGCGUUGUCCGGAAUCAUUGGGCGUAAAGAGCGUGUAGGCGGUCCGGUAAGUCCGUUGUGAAAGUCAGGGGCUCAACCCUUGAAUGCCGGCGGAUACUGUCGGGCUAGAGUCCGGAAGAGGCGAGUGGAAUUCCCGGUGUAGCGGUGAAAUGCGCAGAGUAUCGGGAGGAACACCUAUGGCGAAGGCAGCUCGCUGGGACGGUACUGACGCUGAGACGCGAAAGCGUGGGGGAGCAAACAGG